UAUUAAUAGCACAAAGUCAUUGGUGCUACCAAGUUUUCGGCCAUUGGAUUAAGAGAUGUGUGGUUAGGAUGAUGUGGGCCCCCUAGGGUUGAGUGGAUGGUUGGUUGAAUAGUAUGAUCUAACGGGUGAAAAUGAUCAAAAGGAUAGAUCUAACAGCGAAAACUUGGUAGCACCAAGUGCUUCGUGCUAUUAAUAGCAUACUAGCCGGACUCUAUAGAACUAGGCUAAUAUAUAUAUAUAUAUUAGAGUUAUUAUGCUAUAGGAAGUAUAGAGGACCUAAUGCUUCCACCUUUUUGAUUCUUAGAUCAACCCCUUUAAUCAUUUCUAACUUUUGGAUUAAUACUAUUACCCUGUGGGGACUACUCAAUCCUAGGAAUACUACUCAACUUUAGGGGAGACCGCAAUCAUCUCAACCGUACAAUUCUUGAUCCAAGGGUCAAAAAAUUGAAAAUAUCAAAUUCUCUAUACUUCCGAUAGCAUAAUAGCUCUACACUAUAUAUAUAUAGAGAGAGAGAGAGAGAGGGAAAGAGAGAGAGAAAGAGAGAGAAAGAGAGUAGGGCUAUUAUACUCUUAUUAGUAUAGUCCUUCGUACUCAUAAGUUAUUUUCGAUGAUGGAGCUUCUGAAGCGACGAUCCACUCCGUUAAAUAUGAUCUAUAGUAUUUAAAACUUCGAAAAAAUAAAUUUCGUAAUUUUUCGAAAUCAUAAUAAAGUCUAUCUAGUGGGCAUAAAAAGAAUGGAAAUGGAUGAUCGGAUCCUUCAAUUUAAGAUCGGAGUUUUUGAUCUUUAUCUAGGUAGUGAAUAAAACUUUCUAUCAAAAAUUCAACCUAUUCCAAUUCUUUUUAUGAAAAAUUCAACCUAUUCAAAUUUUUUUAUACUGUUAAACAAGCAAAUAUUCCAUACCAGCGGUUAAAAAUUAUCAAUUUUGUGACUUUUUGAUCGUAAGGUAAUUAAAUGAUUUCGAAAAAUUAUGAAAUUUGAUUUCUAGAAGUUUUAAAUGCUCUAUAUAAUGUUUAACGGUAAGAAUUAUCGAUUCAGAAGCUUUAUCAUCGAAAACGACUUAUGAGUACGAGGGCGAUCGUACUCAUAAGAGUAUAGUAGCCGAACUAUAUAUAUAUAGGGCAAUUGUGCUAUUAGGAGUACAGUAAUCCUUAUGCUUGUAAAUUCCUAACUAUCCAUCAAUUUUGAUCGGUGGUUAGGGUGAGAGAGAGAAGAGAAAUUGAGAUAUCCAUGUCAUACUUGGAUCAACCCUUUUAAUCAUUUCUAACUUUUGGAUUAAUACUAUUACCCUGUAGGAACCACUUAGCCCUAAGAGUACUACUCAACCCUAAGGGAGACCGCAAUCAUCUCAACCGUACAAUUCUUGAUCCAAGGGUCAAAAAAUCGAAAGUAUCAAAUCCUCUAUGCUUCCGAUAGUAUAAUAGCUCUACACUAUAUAUAUAUAUAGAGAGAGAGAGAGGAGGAGGAAAGAGAGAGAGAGAGAGAAAGAAAGAGAGAGAGAGAGAGAGAGUAAGGCUACUAUACUCUUAUUAGUAUAGAGUCCUUCGUACUCAUAAGUAUCAAAAAAUCGAGAGAGAGAGAGAGAGAGAGAGAGAGAGAGAGAGAGAGAGAGUAUGGCUACUAUACUCUUAUUAGUAUAGACUCCUUCGUACUCAUAAGUUAUUUUCGAUGAUGGAGCUUCCGAAUCGACGAUCCACUCCGUUAAAUAUGAUCUAGAGUAUUUAAAACUUCGAAAAAAUAAAUUUCGUAAUUUUUCGAAAUCAUAUAUAUAUAUAUAUAUAUAUAUAUAUAUAUAUAUGAGUUGAGCUGGAAUGCUAUCGAUAGCAAAUGGGUUCCGUUGCCACCUAUUUGUUUUCUAUUAUGGAGCCUUCGAAUCGACGAUCGGCAUCGUUGAACAUGAUCUAUACCACUUGAAGUGUUUAGAAAUUAAAUUUCAAAUCUUUUCGAUAUCAUUUGCCUAAUGAUCAAAGGGUUUCAAAUUUUGUAAUUUUAAUGGUCGAUAUGAGGCGUUUUCUCAUUUAAUGGCGUAAAGAUAUCCAAAUCAAUUAAAUUUUUAUUAGAAAAUUUUUUAAACUAUUUAAAACAAGAUCUAUACUCUUGAUCUUGAUUACAAGACUCCUAUCAUCAUUUGUUUAAGAAUAUUCAUUUUCAGCCGUUCAUUUUUAUAUCCACUCGAUGGAUAAGAGAACAAUAUCGAAAAUGUAUGAAAGUUGAUUUCUAAACACUUCAAGUGGU
rnacentral:lncRNA from 1 species